rnacentral:rRNA from 1 species
UACGGAGGGUGCAAGCGUUAAUCGGAAUUACUGGGCGUAAAGCGCACGCAGGUGGCUGAGUCAGUCGAUUGUGAAAGCCCUGGGCUUAACCUGGGAAUUGCAGUCGAUACUACUCAGCUAGAGUAUGGGAGAGGGUAGUGGAAUUCCUGGUGUAGCGGUGAAAUGCGCAGAUAUCAGGAAGAACACCCGUGGCUAAGGCGGCUCUCUAGUACGGUACUGACGCUGAGACGCGAAAGCGUGGGGAGCGAACAGG